rnacentral:rRNA from 1 species
AUUGAACGCUGGCGGCAGGCCUAACACAUGCAAGUCGAGCGGAUGACGGGAGCUUGCUCCUUGAUUCAGCGGCGGACGGGUGAGUAAUGCCUAGGAAUCUGCCUGGUAGUGGGGACAACGUUUCGAAAGGAACGCUAAUACCGCAUACGUCCUACGGGAGAAAGCAGGGGACCUUCGGGCCUUGCGCUAUCAGAUGAGCCUAGGUCGGAUUAGCUUGUUGGUGAGGUAAUGGCUCACCAAGGCGACGAUCCGUAACUGGUCUGAGAGGAUGAUCAGUCACACUGGAACUGAGACACGGUCCAGACUCCUACGGGAGGCAGCAGUGGGGAAUAUUGGACAAUGGGCGAAAGCCUGAUCCAGCCAUGCCGCGUGUGUGAAGAAGGUCUUCGGAUUGUAAAGCACUUUAAGUUGGGAGGAAGGGUUGUAGAUUAAUACUCUGCAAUUUUGACGUUACCGACAGAAUAAGCACCGGCUAACUCUGUGCCAGCAGCCGCAGUAAAAC